GCCCCGGUAGCUCAGACGUAAGAGCAUUGAUUUGGGUGUAAAGCUGAUCAAUGAUCAGCUUCACCGAAGGUCGUGGGUUCGAUUCCUGCUCUGGGCU
rnacentral:tRNA from 1 species